rnacentral:rRNA from 1 species
CAUGCAAGUCGAGGGGCAGCAUAAAUUACUUGUAAUUUGAUGGCGACCGGCGAACGGGUGCGUAACGCGUAUGCAACUUACCUUUUACUAGAGAAUAGCCAAGAGAAAUUUUGAUUAAUGCUCUAUGUUCUUAUUUACUCGCAUGAGUAAUUAAGCAAAGCUCCGGCGGUAAAAGAUGGGCAUGCGUCCUAUUAGCUUGUAGGUGAGGUAAUGGCUCACCUAAGCUCCGAUAGGUAGGGGUCCUGAGAGGGAGAUCCCCCACACUGGUACUGAGACACGGACCAGACUUCUACGGAAGGCAGCAGUAAGGAAUAUUGGACAAUGGAGGCAACUCUGAUCCAGCCAUGCCGCGUGAAGGAAGACGGCCUUAUGGGUUGUAAACUUCUUUUAUACAGGAAGAAACCUUUCCACGUGUGGAAAGCUGACGGUACUGUAAGAAUAAGGAUCGGCUAACUCCGUGCCAGCAGCCGCGGUAAUACGGAGGAUCCAAGCGUUAUCCGGAAUUAUUGGGUUUAAAGGGUCCGCAGGCUGUUUGUUAAGUCAGAGGUGAAAUCCUACCGCUCAACGGUAGAACUGCCUUUGAUACUGGCAAACUUGAGU